UACGGGGGGGGCAAGCGUUGUUCGGAAUUACUGGGCGUAAAGGGCUUGUAGGUGGCCAACUAAGUCAAACGUGAAAUCCCUCAGCUUAACCGGGGAACUGCGUCUGAUACUGGAUGGCUUGAGUUUGGGAGAGGGACGCGGAAUUCCAGGUGUAGCGGUGAAAUGCGUAGAUAUCUGGAGGAACACCGGUGGCGAAGGCGGCGUCCUGGACCAAUACUGACACUGAGUGAGCGAAAGCCAGGGGAGCAAACGGG
rnacentral:rRNA from 1 species